ensembl:snRNA U6 U6 spliceosomal RNA
GUAGCUUUAGCAGCACAUAUACUAAAAUUGGAAAGAUACAGAAAAGAUGAGCAUGGCCCCUGCACAAGGAUGACACAUAAAUUUGUGAAGCAUUCCAUAUUUUU